CCCAGACUCCUACGGGAGGCAGCAGUGGGGAAUAUUGCACAAUGGGGGAAACCCUGAUGCAGCAACGCCGCGUGAGUGAAGAAGUAUUUCGGUAUGUAAAGCUCUAUCAGCAGGGAAGAAGAUGACGGUACCUGAAUAAGAAGCCCCGGCUAACUACGUGCCAGCAGCCGCGGUAAUACGUAGGGGGCAAGCGCUAUCCGGAUUUACUGGGUGUAAAGGGAGCGCAGACGGCAGUGCAAGUCUGGAGUGAAAGCCCGGGGCCCAACCCCGGACUGCUCUGGAAACUGUAGAGCUAGAGUGCAGGAGAGGUAAGUGGAAUUCCUGGUGUAGCGGUGAAAUGCGUAGAUAUUAGGAGGAACACCAGUGGCGAAGGCGGCUUACUGGACUGUAACUGACGUUGAGGCUCGAAAGCGUGGGGAGCAAACAGGAUUAGAUACCCGGGUACA
rnacentral:rRNA from 1 species